GACAGAGGGUGCAAACGUUGUUCGGAAUUACUGGGCGUAAAGCGCGUGUAGGCGGCCCGGUAAGUCCGCUGUGAAAGUCCAGGGCUCAACCCUGGGAUGCCGGUGGAUACUGUCGGGCUCGAGUCCGGAAGAGGCGAGUGGAAUUCCUGGUGUAGCGGUGAAAUGCGUAGAUAUCAGGAGGAACACCGGUGGCGAAGGCGGUUCUCUGGGCCUUACCUGACGCUGAGGAGCGAAAGCAUGGGGAGCAAACAGG
rnacentral:rRNA from 1 species